AAGUCAUAACAAGGUUUCCGUAGGUGAACCUGCGGAAGGAUCAUUAAAGAAUAUCGAGCUUCACAGCUCUUAUUUCUCCAACCCCUUUUGUUAUUAUCAAACUUUGUUUGUUUUGGCAGCGCCCUUUUUAGGGCCUGCCAGAGGACCGAAACCCUAGAAUCUCUGCCGUCUGAGUACUAUAUAAUAGUUAAAA
rnacentral:misc_RNA from 1 species